ACGGCAGCACGGGUGCUUGCACCUGGUGGCGAGUGGCGAACGGGUGAGUAAUGUAUCGGAACGUAUCCGGAAGUGGGGGAUAGCCCGGCGAAAGCCGGAUUAAUACCGCAUAUGCCCUGAGGGGGAAAGUGGGGGACCGCAAGGCCUCAUGCUUUCGGAGUGGCCGAUAUCGGAUUAGCUAGUAGGUUAGGUAAAGGCUGACCUAGGCGACGAUCCGUAGCGGGUCUGAGAGGAUGAUCCGCCACACUGGGACUGAGACACGGCCCAGACUCCUACGGGAGGCAGCAGUGGGGAAUUUUGGACAAUGGGGGCAACCCUGAUCCAGCCGUGCCGCGUGAGUGAAGAAGGCCUUCGGGUUGUAAAGCUCUUUCGGACGGAAAGAAAUUGCCAUCUCUAACAUAGGUGGUGGAUGACGGUACCGUAAGAAGAAGCACCGGCUAACUACGUGCCAGCAGCCGCGGUAAUACGUAGGGUGCGAGCGUUAAUCGGAAUUACUGGGCGUAAAGCGUGCGCAGGCGGUUUUGUAAGACAGGCGUGAAAUCCCCGGGCUUAACCUGGGAACUGCGCUUGUGACUGCAAGGCUAGAGUGCGGCAGAGGGGGGGUAGAAUUCCACGUGUAGCAGUGAAAUGCGUAGAGAUGUGGAGGAAUACCGAUGGCGAACGCAGCCCCCUGGGUCGACACUGACGCUCAUGCACGAAAGCGUGGGGAGCAAACA
rnacentral:rRNA from 1 species